rnacentral:rRNA from 1 species
UACGUAGGUGGCAAGCGUUGUCCGGAAUUAUUGGGCGUAAAGCGCGCGCAGGCGGUCCUUUAAGUCUGAUGUGAAAGCCCACGGCUCAACCGUGGAGGGUCAUUGGAAACUGGGGGACUUGAGUGCAGAAGAGGAAAGCGGAAUUCCACGUGUAGCGGUGAAAUGCGUAGAGAUGUGGAGGAACACCAGUGGCGAAGGCGGUUCUCUAGUACGGUACUGACGCUGAGACGCGAAAGCGUGGGGAGCGAACAGG